UGUCUGUCUGUCUGUCUCUCUCUCUCUCUCUCAAAAUAAAUAAACUUAAAAAGAAAAUAAAUUAAUUCAUCAUAUUAACAACUUAAAGGAGGAAAAUCAUAAUCACUAAAACACAGAAAAGGUGUUUGAAGAAAUUCAUUAUCAGUUUAUGAUUUUUAAAAACCUCUUAGCCUAACAGGAAUAGAAGAGAACAGCCCUAAUCUGCUUAAGGGUAGCUUCCAAACCAAAAACAAACAAAACACCUUCAGCACACAUUACAGUUGAUGAUAAAAUACUGAUCUGUCCUCCCCCCCCCCCCCCCACCCGGUCAGGAACCAUCAGAAAGCAGACGAAUAGGCCACCUUGACCAUUUCUCUUCACCACUGUCGUGGAGAUCUUAGCCAGUGAGAAAAGGCAAGAAAAAUGAUGAGAAAUGAAAAAUGAAAAAUGAAUACUAUCAUUAUUGGCAUACAUGAAAUAAACUGCUGGAACUAUAAAGAGAAUUGAGUGUAUUUUUGGUACAUACACAAAAUCAGAGAAAGGGGGCUAUGAUGAGGAUUCAGGAAAUGAAGGUAUUGAAAACAGUAUCAAUGUUCAAUGAUCAUAGCAUAUCAUAAUUCAAUCCCAGGUACUGGGGUGGCGGGGGGUGGGGGAAUAUGAUCCCUACCUCCACCAUAACCCAAAUCAUUUCAAUGUGGACCGGACACCGAAAUGUGAAAUGAACUCACAAGUGAUUCCAGUUGCUAUUAAUGUAGCAGCGUAUUCCUGUGAUCUCAACUCUCAAGGGUAAGCAAGGAUUUAAGAAAUAAGACAAAAAGGUGAAUUCUUAGUGACGAGGCUGAUCAAGUGGACUACCUCAAGAAUCUCUGCUCACCAAAGCACAGAAUCAAGGGUAAAAAGUCAAGUCACAAUUUGAGCGAAUAUACUUGGCAGCCAAAGAGAUUUAAUGACUGCUUGCAAAACAAGAGGAAAAAGACCGACCUAUAGAAAAGUCACCACGGUGGGGGGGGGGGGGAACCUUAUGGGAGAAAAUUCAAGUGGCUAACAAACGUGUAACGGUGCUCCAAUUCAUAACCAGUAAGGGCUUUACAAAGGAAACCCCAAUGAGAGAACAUUACAGACAGGCAAAUAACACCACUACUAAUUAAAUGGGGGUAGGGGAUUAGGUAGAAGGUUCUGACCUGGUAAAGCAUGGGAGUAAAGGGCUAAUACUAUUUUACUUCUUCAUCUGUGUGCGGGUUACACAGGUGUGUGCAUUACAAUCAGUUGUUAUGCUGUACACGCAGAUUCUGUGCAUUUUAUGUAUCUUACAAUUUUUCAACACCCCUCCUCACACACACCCUGAUGAAUCCUAUGAACAGAGAGAAGGUGGUUGAGAUUCCAAGAUUUUGUUUCACGAAGAAAGGUGAAACCACAUGCCUCCAAGGACAUCCCUAUGCAGACCAGAUCCAUGAAGUCCUGCCCUUGUGGGGUCUCCUCCCCGCCCAGCGCCUUUCCUAUAUCUUCUUCAUUGAAGAUGGAGGCAAGAAGAGGGGGAGGAGGAGGAGACCGCCUGAAAACGGAACAAGUUUCUCACAGGCCCGGGAGAGGGUAAGGCAGGGAGGCAAAGACAUGUGUUUUGUUUGUUUGUUUGUUUGUUUGUUUGUUUCCUUCCCAGCUAACAGUCAAGGGGAAAUUUGAGGGGUUGUUACAGGCUUUAACAUCUUUACUCCAUCCAGCAGGUAAGUCAUCAGUUUCCUUUAUGUAAAUCAGAACUCCUCCUCCCUCCCCAGGCCCCACCCUUAGACCCUCAUUCCUGUUGACAGAGAAAAUUGUGUGUCACAGCUCAGAAUUUAUUCGUUAAAAUUUCAGAUUUCCAAGAAUCUAAAAAUAAAUUAAUGACUAAAACGACUUCAAUGGUUCCAACACAGUAUGGCCAUCGUUCUGCCCUCAAAAGUAGAAAGACAGCCUCAGAAUAACAAAACUCUUGAAACUGAAUAAAUCAAGUUUAGUUUUAAAACGGAAAGGGCGGGGGGAACUCCUCCUCCCACCCCCCCCCCGCCCCCAAUCUUCGAUUUUAAGCUACUGUUAGGGGAAUCCGCCAGAGAUUUUUCGGAUGAAAAUUAAUCACUCGCAGUCUCCAACGCAGUCACGCACUUAGUGCCCUCAAAUGGGAAUCCUUUCGAAGGAGCGUCCAAGAGGUAGAAAACAAACCCGGAUCAACAGUUCCCAGAGUCUUCAGUUCUUUUCCCCUUAUUAAAAGUCUACUUUUCGGGCUAACACCUGUUGGGGCGCACUGCCAGGCACGCGGCGUCCUCGCCGGAACGGCCACGCGCCCGCGGGACGCGCGCAGGCGGCGGCGGCUGAUGACCUGAACCUACGCGUUUACAGCAGCUCCACGCGGGUCCACGCGGGUUCCUCCCUACCAGCCUCCACCUUUAUUCAGGCUCAAGGGUGUCUGCAGGGCCCCGCGACUGCUGUCCUCCCGAGACACUUUGGUGUCUCGAUCCUCGCUCUGCACUGAGACGUGGCCCGGCGGCCAACCCAAGGCCCAGCACGGGCAUCGGUGACCUGGUGGCUCUUUGGGUUCCGCGGCUCCCCCAGGGCGAGGCUGAAGGUAACUGUGGUCUUAGAUCCAAAGAGUCUAAACCGCAGACCCCGCGGUGUCACCUGCAGGGGGCGGGGGGGCGGGGGGGAAGAAAGGUACCAACCCGGGAGCGAGCUGGUCGCCGCGCGGCACGCCAAAUGCACUUACGCAUUUAGGCACAACCCCAGUGUAGGUCGACUGCUUAGUCAAGCUUUCUGCUCAGAAGCCACCCUGCGGAGUUUGGUUCUCAUUUUCCUACUCCUGGAAGCCAGAAUCACGAGAUGCUCGGACUUGCCUUGUGCAACAGGUGCAUGAUGGGUCUGUGGAAACAACCUCCAGAGCGACUCCCAGCUAGGGCGCCGGGCGAUUUCAAAGGUUCCAGAACAGGCUUACGCGGUCGUCUUUGCAGCACGGAGCUAAGUCACCCACAGGCACUCGAAGCAAAGGCUUCAGAAGGAGACUUCCAUCCAACACAAUUUCAAAAUAAACUGUUUCGUCGGCUCACACCACAACUCUGAGAAAGGCUCUUCCCGACUGGCCAACAGACCCCGGCAGGAGAACGCCGGAAAGUCAUCCAGACCCCUUGAUGAUGACCCUGAACCUUCCACCGUCAACCUCCAACAUGUCACCCUAGACAGUCUGAGAAAGUAAUGUGACUUGCCAGCUUAGGCAAGUAAAAUUCUAACUCGGGGAAGAAAUAAGAAGCAGAAGUCGACUGGCAGUAGAAGGAGGAAAGGGCGGGAAUCUGAACCGAACUAAUGAAGAAACGCAUUUUGGUCAAGUGAG